GUCUGGUCAAAGGGCAUUCCUUCUUGCUGAGGGCUUUGCAGCAAAAGGGUGGAACCAAGCUGGGGAAGAGACAGAGAUGUUGAGAAGCUGUGCCAAGUCCAUGGUGAAUCUUUCCCUCUUGUAUUGUUCAGACACAGACAAAUGCCUAUUAAUAUCCACCGUGUUGAAGGGAAAGUCACUGAUCUGCAGGAUCAUCAGGACCCAGUUCUUCUUUCCUGGGAUUCAAAUCAUCACUGAAGGUAAAAGCCCUCACAGACAUGAGGACACCAAAGUCCUUCAGAGCAUGGCCAUAGGAAAUGCUCGUCACCAUUUCAACAGCUCUAAAACUGGAUGUUGCAGGUGUCUCACACUGACAGCUGCAAUUUUACUGAUGCUGUGCAGCACAGGAUAUCCACUCUCAUUACGUUUCAAGACACAGGAAAUGCAACUCAGUAUCUGAAUGCAUAAGAAGGAAGGAACCUUUUAAAGUUCAAGGAUUCAAGAAGCCUGUUGACAGCAAUACACACUGGUAUAUAAAAAUCUAUUACAGACUUUAAUACUUACAUGUGCUGGCUUCCAAGCCCCCAAAAGCCCCCACUGAGGAGGUUCACAAAUGGGAAGUGAAGAAUAACAGGCACUUGAAUCCUUAUUGUGAAGACUAACUGAAGAGAAGUAUGCAAAACAUAAGGUGCUACACAGAAACCUUUGAAUCAGAAUGGGUAGCUACACAAAUAAUAAACAAAAUAAAAAUAUCUUGAGAAAUACGCA
rnacentral:lncRNA from 1 species